CAUGGCCUUAUUGAUAAUAAUUUAAGGUCUGAUCUGCUCAAUGAAUUUUAAAUAGCCGCAGUAUUUUGACUGUGCGAAGGUAGCAUAAUAAUUAGUUUCUUAAUUAGGAACUGGAAUGAAUGAUUGGACAAGAAAAUUACUGUCUCUUUUUUAGUUGUUGAAUUUUAUUUUUAAGUGAAAAAGCUUAAAUGUUUAUAAAAGACGAGAAGACCCUAUAGAGUUUAAUAUUUUUUUUUAAUUUGUUAUUAGUAUAAUUUUUUAGACAAAAUUAUUUGGUUGGGGUGAUUGAAAGAUAUAAUUAAUUCUUUUAAAUUUUAAUUAAAAAUUUUUAAAUUUUUAAUCUAUAAUUUGUAAAAUUAAAAUAAAUUACCUUAGGGAUAACAGCGUAAUUUUUCUUAAAAGUUCUUAUUGUAAGGAAAGUUUGCGACCUCGAUGUUGGAUUAAAAUAAAUUUUUGGUGCAAUAACUGAAAAAUUGGGUCUGUUCGACCUUUAAAAUUUUACAUGAUCUGAGUUUAGACCGGUGUGAACCAGGUUGGAUUCUAUCUUUAUAUUUAUUUCUUAUAUUUUAGUACGAAAGGACCAAAUAUGAAUUAAAUUAAUUG
rnacentral:rRNA from 1 species